CAGCAUUGCAGCUUUAAUUUUACCUUCUGAGCCCCGGCACUCAUCCAGUUUCCUUUGAAAGAAGUUCAGCAUCUUGCUUGCACAUAAUGGAUGUUUAAUGAUGAGAUGGCACUUUAAAUGUGAUGGCUUCUGGCAUUGUCUGAUCUUACCUCUCCACACAGAAAACAGAGUGGUUGCAGUGGCUCAUAACACAUACUGAAUUAAAUACCACAACCUUUUUGAUAUUUUAGUUAGCUAGCUAGCAAUCUUUGAGCUAACAUCAACACAGUGAGCUGAAUAAGAGCACUCCACAAUGAGCUAGAGAAGUUAUACUUUAUGAAACUUUUCCCCGUUUCCUUGCAAUGUCUUUAUAUAAUUAAACUAAUCAAUUUUUUUAUUGCAUUAGAUCAAAAGAAUGUACGGGCAAUUAAUUCACUUUUUUCAAUUUACACAGUGCUUACAGUAUCAUGUCCUUGUUAUUCAAGAUUAAAACCUUUGUAAGCAAAUUGACUUAUUGCUUUCCUAAAAUUUCAAUGCGUUCUAUUUACUUUGGCCAUUUAAUUAAAAUAGAGAUUAAAAUUUGCUAAUAAAAAUUGGAUAGUGUUUACAAAAGCUGGAAUCUGAUUGACCAGCCUUGUCUUACAGAUAUAUUGCUAUAAAUGCUAUAAAUUAUAGAACUUAUGGAAAAUAAGACUGAGAAAAAUGUGUCUAAAAUAGAAAAUGGGUGUCUAAAGUGAAAGCCUUUUCUAAUUUGAAGAUUUGAAGAUGCAAUGACCAGGAUACAGAUCAGGAAAGAUCUUCAAAAUCUUUCAAGCUCUUCUUGGCUGGGGAAAUUAAAUUCACCUCUAAUAUGUCAUGUCUCCUCAAAUGAUGCGUAAUGACCCUAUACCAAAUUGCCCUAUAUCAGGAUGCACCAACCUUUAGGUAAUCCCUUAACUCUUUCCAAGUGACUUCUUGUCUGAGAGAGUGAAACCUGAGAACGUACCUCCUGAGAGCUCCUUCACCUGCACUAUGAUUGAAUCUUGUGUGAAAGUAAAUAUAUAAGUCUUCUAGUGAAGUUGGUAGUAAAUGUAUGCGUAAGCCAAAGUGAAAGUUAAUUUGAGUCAUAUCAGUAAAAGAAGUACACAUAUACAGUGGAAAUGUAUUCAAUAACAAUAACAAAUGUGUUGGAAUGCUUAUAUAUUCAACUGACUAUACAGUACAUUCAAAUGUUCUAGCAUUGGAACAUGGUUGUUGGGAUUUGCUCAGUCAGCCCCAGGAACAUUAGUGAUGUUGGACGAAGUGACCUGGGGCACAAAAAGCAUUCCAAUUCAAUCCAAAGGUAUUCAAUGGGGUUGAGGUGAUGGCUUUGUACAGUCCAGACAAGCUUUUUACUCUACCCUUGACAUUGGCAUGGUGAAACAAGUUUGGGCCCCAUAGUUCCAUUACAGGGUAGAUGUAAUGCUAGAGCACAUAAAGAGAUCAUAUAUAAUUGUAUGCUUCCUAUUUUGUGGCAACAGUUUAUGGAAGGUUCAAAUAUAUGAAUACAAUGGCUAGAAGUCCACAAACAUUUGGCAAUAUACUGUAGUGUAUGUUGUCUUCUAUGGCAAUAUCAAGAGGUUUUUUUGGCUCGGGUAUUGUAGGGGCAUAGCAAGCUCUUCCACAUAAGAAUUAAGGAGCAGAUGUACACCUGGCCUAGGUCUUUGGAUCAGUGAACAUCCAUAUGCUAGAGAUGUGUCAUGCUGUGGGCCAAGUACCUCACUACCACCUGUGUUGUAAGGUUUUUGUCCAGGAUAAUUCUAACAUAUUUUACCAUGUUGGUUAAAUAUUUCCAUAUUUAAAACUUUCCAUGUUGUCCAUCAAACGCAUUAAAAUGUUAUGACAAUGGCACAUUAAACCAAAGCAAGAUCUUAGGUCUGUCUUGUUUAAUUAAUUCAUUUCAGUGUUCAUUUGUGUCCAUACGGACAAAUAUAAUUACUAAAAAUUACCCUUGUUAAACAAGAAGAAAAACAUUAACUGAUUAUUGACUCUGUGACUGUAUUAUUUAUCGCAGUUGUUUCAGUGACACAAUAUGUAGCUGAAUAUCUAAAGCAUUAUUAAUUAGUAAAACAUUGUCUGCUAUGUUCUAAUGCUUAAAUGCAAUCUUUUUAGUACUGCCCUUGUGUCUACCCAAACCAUUUGUACAGUAGGUAUACACAAUUACCAAAUAUAUUGUCUUAUCAGAGUAGCAAAUAUAGCAUCUAAACAUGAUUAUGGCUUAACUGAGUUAUUUAUCAAUGUUUGCACUGUAUAUAAAGUUUAUAUCAGAUCCUAAUACAGUAUAUAUCUACUACCUAUUGCUGCAAAUGUAGACAAUAUGCAAAUGAGUGACAAAGGAAA